rnacentral:rRNA from 1 species
AUUGAACGCUAGCGGGAUGCCUUACACAUGCAAGUCGAACGGAGUGGCGAACGGGUGAGUAAUGUAUCGGAACGUGCCCAGUAGCGGGGGAUAACUACGCGAAAGCGUAGCUAAUACCGCAUACUAUUGGCGCGGCCGCUAUCGGAUUAGCUAGUUGGCGGGGUAACGGCUCACCAGGGCGACGAUCCGUAGCUGGUUUGAGAGGACGACCAGCCACAGUGGGAGUGAGACACGGACCAGACUCCUACGGGAGGCAGCAGUGGGGAAUAUUGGAAAAUGGGGUAAACCCGGAUCCAGCCAUCCCGCGUGUGCGAUGAAGGCCUUCGGGUUGGAAAGCACUUUUGGCAGGAAAGCGGUACCUGCAGAAUAAGCGCCGGCUAACUACGUGCCAGCAGCCGCGGUAAUUC